GUCUCUUCCUCUCUCUUCCUCUUUCCUCGCUCUCUCUCUUAUUCUGCAGCACCUGUGCCUGUCUGUCUCCUCCCUACCCACAGAUCUGUUGGUUGAACCCUGCUGUGGAUCCUUCUUGGUCCCAGGUCCUCUCCCUGGUGGGCCACUUCUCUUUCCCCUGGGUGGGCAGCUGUCGGAUGGGAUGGAGGCCGGUCAGGAGGACACUGUCUGGUUCUGGGGCUUGUCUCAACAGCUAUUCAACAGUCCUGUGCUGUGGUGAGGUAAAGACGGAAACCAGCUCUGCUCCACUGUGACGUCAUCGGAGACAGAGUGCGAGGGAAGGAGAGAGAGAAGGCGGGUGAAGCAGGGUCACAAAGAACAUUGACAGCUUACAGUUGCAGUCACCCUCUAUUUAAGUUAAGCUGCAUCAUUUGGCACUGUUUAAACAGCAAGCCUUUUAGAAUGGUGGUGCAAUGCCGCUCCAGGGUGAUGUCACUGAGCGGAACACAUGGCCAGCACAUGAUCCCAGAUGAGAACGCCACCCUGUCUUCUUCUUUCAAGACACCGUGAAGGAGCGGAAACUCCAGGGCUGGAGGGCUUGCUACUGCACCAACUAAAAAUAACUCCUCCCAAACGAUAAACUGUAAGAGAGGGAGUAACAGUCAGUCUGUCAGCACAGACUUGAAAUUAUACUCACACUCAAUGUUUUUAAUGGGGCUUCAGAUUUGCAGAUUUGCCGUGUAUUAAUGUUGUUGACACUGUAGCGUUUUCUAAGCAUACUCUCACAGGCAACCGUUUGAAUUGAGGAAUGGGCUUUUUCCACUGCCCUUUAGUGCUAGUCUUCCCAUUUGGCAACAUCCUUAAAUAUAAAUAUGCCAAACACCAACUUCUUUGAAGACAUACUGUACUGCAUAUAAUGCCAGGAAUAAAGUUGUCAAGUGUCGUUUGUUUUUUUUCCAUCAAUGUUAUGUUUAACGUUCGUUUAGGCUGUGUUUUGGGAGAAGUUACUUCAUUUCAUCCAUUAGGUUGCAUUUGCCUUGGCUAGUAUGUUUGUACCUUGAACAAGCAGGCUCUAUGUCUGUGUGGUUUGUCUCUGCAGCCCUGUAUGUCCUGACUGAACCACUCUACUGAUGUCACUUCCCAAAGACAAACACACCAAACACUGGGCUCUCGGGAAGUAAACAAGCCUCACAGGCCCAUCAAACUGAAAUGUCUCGACAAAAUAUAUUAUUCAGCUGUCAAACCUCUUAUGUUUACUUAAUUAUACAGUCCUUACACUUUCCUAGUCAAAUUCCUUCAUGUUAAAUACCUAUUACUUUCAUGUUUUUAUGUCCGGCUCCCUCUAUUCCUAGUAAUCAAGUCUUGCUCAUCCUCUUUACAGAAAUACUUGUGAUUCUAUGAAACCUGGAUUUUGCUGAAUGAAAAAUGACUGCAUCAGAGGAGUAGCCUGUUUCUAGUGUUGCAAUGAAGCUGCCUAACCCUUUUUGUACAAUCUCAGUAUUGGAUUCUGAUUCUGUCUUGACAGCUCAUCUACACUCAGACAAUCAACACGUCCCCUCCUUUCUGUCUUCCACCUUCCCAAGCCAGCUGCAGAAAUAGAAGCACUCACACCAGCCAGAGUGUUAGAUUCAUUGUUAUCACAUGGUAACUGAGGGAGUAAAGUUGAGAAAACGGAGGUAUUUGGAACAAUAACAGAAGAGGCCGUUAUUAUGGGAUGAAUGGCCUUUUAAGAGAACAGCACUGAAAUAAUGCAGAUAUGUCAGGAGAUUACAAUGAAAAUCCCCCCCACAUUCCCUUCCCUCCUGGGGCUAAGAGAAGAAUGUUCUCACCCAUAAACUGGUGACAUUCUUGAAUAAAAUCAAGAUUAAUUUAACGAGG